UGGGGAAUAUUGGACAAUGGGCGAAAGCCUGAUCCAGCCAUGCCGCGUGUGUGAAGAAGGUCUUCGGAUUGUAAAGCACUUUAAGUUGGGAGGAAGGGCAGUAAGCGAAUACCUUGCUGUUUUGACGUUACCGACAGAAUAAGCACCGGCUAACUCUGUGCCAGCAGCCGCGGUAAUACAGAGGGUGCAAGCGUUAAUCGGAAUUACUGGGCGUAAAGCGCGCGUAGGUGGUUCGUUAAGUUGAAUGUGAAAGCCCCGGGCUCAACCUGGGAACUGUAUCCAAAACUGGCGAGCUAGAGUAGGGCAGAGGGUGGUGGAAUUUCCUGUGUAGCGGAGAAAUGCGUAGAUAUAGGAAGGAACACCAGUGGCGAAGGCGACCACCUGGGCUCAUACUGACACUGAGGUGCGAAAGCGUGGGGAGCAAACAGG
rnacentral:rRNA from 1 species